rnacentral:lncRNA from 1 species
GGGCAGCAUGCAUGAGCCUGGCCAAAGCAUCCCAGCCCCCACUCUUAGUGCCCACGCUCCACGUAGUCGCUUACCCUGGAAGUCAAAGCCCGGAGUCACCGAUGAAUCCACGAAAGUGUCCUCUUCACUAUAGCACAGUAUGGCCUCUGCCGAGAGUGGAUGGGAAGGAAGAUGGAAUAGAAACACUUCCCUCUGCCUCCCUGGGGGUAGCCAGGCCUCUCUCUUCUAUACCAUGCCCUCCCCUGGGCCAAUGCCCGUGGGAGUCUUUGCCCACCCUAGACAUGCAGCUGGGCUUGUGAGGAGGCUCAAAUGGGGAUAUGAUAGCCUCAGCCUGGGACCGAGAGGGGGCUGUUGGGAGCAGCUUUGGGAUCUGGGGAAGGCACCCUGGGCCUGGCUUCUGGGUUCCUGUGGCAGAAGUCUUGGGAGUACCAGAAGAAAGAAGACGUAGAGGAGGGAGAGGUCAAGGUCACGAUCUCCAAGACACCCACAGGUGUCAAGGGGUUUUAGGUGAGCUUACUUCUGCAGGAAUCAGGAUCAAGAAGAGUUGUUCUAGUUUCAUUCAUAAUCUUGGCCUUUACAAUCUCUGCCAGGUUUUCAAACAGUUCCUCAUACUCUAAAGUGUAGUCUGCCUCCAGGAUGACAUCGUUCUUGACCACGAUGCUACCGUUGCUGGAAGUGGGAAUCGUUUCAUCAGUUACCCAUGUCACCACCCAGCCAGCAAGUGGAGCCCAAGCACCCAGAGUGGUAAUGGGAGAUGAAGCUGCCAUGUGACCCAGAGGUGAGAAAGAAUACAGAGUCUUCCCUCCAGCAGCUAACCACCCAGACAGAGGGAGGAGAGCGAAACGAUUCAAGAUCUCACAUAUCAGUGAUCAUGAUAAAUGCCAAUGAGUGAAAUUCAUCUCUCGCAAAAUAGUGGCUCUUGGAUGAACAAGUGGAGAAAUUUGAAUCCCUGUGUCCUGUUGAUGCGAAAGUAAAAUAGUGCAGCUGCUAUGGAAAACAGUAUGGAGCUCCUCAAAAAAUUUAAAAUAGAAUUAAUGCAUGAUCCAGCAAUUCUACUUCUGGGUAUAUAUACAAAAUAACUGAAAGCAGGUCUUGAAUUUAUAUUUGUACCCUUGUGUUUUUAGUAGCAUUAUUUACCAUAGCCAAAAGGUGGAAGCAAACCAAGGGUCCAUCAACAGACAAAUGGAGAAACAAAUGUGGUCUAUUGUGGAAUAUUAUUUAGCCUUAAAAAGGAAGUACAGGGCAGGAAGUGCGGUGGCUCAUGCCUGUCAUCCCAGCAAUUUGGGAGGCCGAGGUGGGAGGACUGCUUGAGGCCAGGAGUUCAAGACCAGCCUGGGCAACAUGAUGAGACCCCAUCUCUACAAAAAAUACAAAAAUUAGCCAGCCAAGUUAGUGCACGCUUGUAGUCCCAGCUACUCAGGACGCUACGUCAGGAGGAUGGCUUGAGCCCAGGAGUUUGAGGCUGUGUUGAGCUAUGAUUGCACCACUGCACUUCAGGCAACAGAGCAAGACCCCAUUUUUUAAAAUUUAAAAAAGAAAGAAAAAGCAAUCUCCGAAUGUUCACCCCUCUAUACUGAGGAAGAUUGUCGCCCUUCAAAACGACAUCCAUCUGAAAGAAACAAGGCAGCGAAGGUCACACAAAGCUAGAGCAUGAAGACUCUCCUGUUACCCUUCUUGAGGCAGCCCUAGGCACCUUUCUGUGGAGCCCAGGUAUGCCUUAUGUCACCCCUUGGAGAACCCAUGGAAAAUCAUUCACUGGUAACAAUUUCCAAGCUGGCACUCCCCAGACCUUUGUAGUCAAAAUGCUUAACAAAAAUUGCCUAUUUGCCUACAUUGCAGCCACUGGUCAUUAAAGAUGCCAGCUCCCUCUCCUGCUAAGCAGGUAAAGUUUGGUAGCUUUUUUCUCUGUGAGAGUAAUGACAUGGUAUCUCAUUAAAUGAAUUAAGUUGAGUCCUUUCUUGCCCAUUUACAGUGUUUACUGCUUCUACAUUCCACAUGUAUUUGGAUUUUUCUUUAAAAAGAUUAAGGUUAGGGACAAUGGCUCACACCUGUAAUCCCAGCACUUUGGGAGGCUGAGGCAGGAGGUUUGCUUGAGGCCAGGAGUUCAAGACCAGCCUGGAAAACAUAGCGAGACCCCCAUCUGUACAAACAUUUAAAAAUUAGCUGG